rnacentral:tRNA from 1 species
GCAAUGGCGGUUCAGUGGUAGAGUCCCCCCUUCAUGCGGGAGACCUGGGUUCAAUUCCUGGCCAAUGCA